rnacentral:rRNA from 1 species
GAUGAACGCUGGCGGCGUGCCUAAUACAUGCAAGUCGAACGAAACUUCUUUAUCACCGAGUGCUUGCACUCACCGAUAAAGAGUUGAGUGGCGAACGGGUGAGUAACACGUGGGCAGCCUGCCCAAAAGAGGGGGAUAACACUUGGAAACAGGUGCUAAUACCGCAUAACCAUAGUUACCGCAUGGUAACUAUGUAAAAGGUGGCUAUACUACCGCUUUUGGAUGGGCCCGCGGCGCAUUAGCUAGUUGGUAGGGUAAAGGCUUACCAAGGCAAUGAUGCGUAGCCGAAUUGAGAGGUUGAUCGGCCACAUUGGGACUGAGACACGGCCCAAACUCCUACGGGAGGCAGCAGUAGGGAAUCUUCCACAAUGGGCGAAAGCCUGAUGGAGCAACGCCGCGUGGGUGAAGAAGGUCUUCGGAUCGUAAAACCCUGUUGUUAGAGAAGAAAGUGCGUGAGAGUAACUGUUCACGUUUCGACGGUAUCUAACCAGAAAGCCACGGCUAACUACGU